rnacentral:tRNA from 1 species
GGAGAGGUGUCCGAGUGGUUGAAGGAGCACGCUUGGAAAGCGUGUAAGGUCGCAAGGCUUUCGCAGGUUCGAAUCCUGUCCUCUCCGCCA